AGUGAACGCUGGCGGUAGGCCUAACACAUGCAAGUCGAACGGCAGCACAGUAAGAGCUUGCUCUUACGGGUGGCGAGUGGCGGACGGGUGAGGAAUACAUCGGAAUCUACUUUUUCGUGGGGGAUAACGUAGGGAAACUUACGCUAAUACCGCAUACGACCUACGGGUGAAAGCAGGGGAUCUUCGGACCUUGCGCGAUUGUAUGAGCCGAUGUCGGAUUAGCUAGUUGGCGGGGUAAAGGCCCACCAAGGCGACGAUCCGUAGCUGGUCUGAGAGGAUGAUCAGCCACACUGGAACUGAGACACGGUCCAGACUCCUACGGGAGGCAGCAGUGGGGAAUAUUGGACAAUGGGCGCAAGCCUGAUCCAGCCAUACCGCGUGGGUGAAGAAGGCGUUCGGGUUGUAAAGCCCUUUUGUUGGGAAAGAAAAGCAGCAGGUUAAUACCCCGCUGUUCUGACGGUACCCAAAGAAUAAGCACCGGCUAACUUCGUG
rnacentral:rRNA from 1 species